CGAGGCCUGGGAAAGAGAAUGUGAAAGAAGGGAGGAACUGCCAUUAGCACAUGCCUUCCUGGCCUCCCCCACUCCUGACUCAGCCCCUCGACAUGGCUAUUUCAGAUCACUGUGAUGAUGACUUGAAGUUCUUCCUUUUGUUUUUCUGUAACAUACCUUCUCCUGCAUAGUCUGCGUUCUCUGCUCUGCUACAAGCCUCCUGAGAAGUGUCUGCUGUGGACUCUUAAGUAUCACAUGGGAUGGCCACAGUUCACAGUAAGCAGCGGUAAAGGGAAGUCAGCCCCAUCUAUGCCGCUGCACGUGGGCCGUUCUGGACAUUUCUCACUACAAGACUCGUCACCACCCCACUUCACAGCCUGGUAGCCCUAGAGAUCACCGGUCUGCUGAAUCCAAAGCCUGUGUCCUUCCUCCUGCAGGCACAGCCUCUCCCUAGACCCGGAACAUGGUUGAAUGAGAGAAACUACUUCAUGCAGUGGAAGGUUUGCUGUGGGGCAUAGUAGCAUUUACCAUCACUCGUGAGGGUGGCUGGCCACCACACGGCAAGCAGCAUGUAUCACUCUGCACACACACUUCUGUUUUUCUCUUUCCUAGGGGCAUUUCUCAUUUCCUCAGAAGUUACUGAGAACACAAUGUCUGACUCAGGGCAGGUGCUGAGUGAGCAAUUUUGAUUUGGGGAGUCAGACAGGGAAUGGAGGGUGGACAGGCCGACUGUGCCUUUGAUCCUCCUAUGAGGAGGACUCCCACAAAUGCUCCUGCUUGUUCGCAGCUGAGGUGGACUGACACAGAGCUGCCCCCCCCCCCCCCGCAGUGUUUACUUUCUUGCAGUUUUACAUACCACAGCCAUGAGGUGUCCCCGAGUUGGAGGGCGGCGGGAGUGUUGGAUUUUUGCUCUGUCUCGAGUAGGGUGGGCAAGGAAGCUGUCCUCCUCAACGGUGACCUGAAGAAAUGCACUGUGAGUCACAGGUUUUCUUUAGGACUCUGGCCCAGCUGGGCGACCCCUAACUUGCCUGGACUGCAGAAUAAGCCCACCCCACCAAUUAUUUCUGAGCAGGGUCACAGGCAGAAGGGUUUAUGGACACAGAUGCUCCAAGGCUGGCAGGAAGCUGGAGAGGAGGGUGAGCAAAGACUUCAGAGAGAAGAUGGGACAAGGGGGCCUUCAAAGACACAGAGAAAGUAGAGUUGGGGAGAGCUAGAGGGGGCCCCCACACCCCUCCUCCUCUAGUGAGUCACAGCUUGCUUUCUGCUCUAGUGUCCCUUUCCCCACAACAGGCCCCUACCUCAUCCAGGAUACGGUUCUUAGCCCUGGUGAUGGCAGAGCUCAGGGCGUUGAUCCAGGACUCCUUUUCUUCAGGACUCACCGCCAGGAAGAUCAGGUUGGGGGCCUGUGAGGGGAAUGUUUCUUGUUUUAGCUAGGGUUUUACAAAUAAAGAAAGAGAUGUGAUAAUCUCAUCCCUUGCACCCAGCUCCUGGAAAAGAGUGGCUCUGCGUCUGGGAUCAUGAAUGACUGAAAGAAACCCUGAGUCUGUUCCCGCAGAAUGCACAGGUUGUUUUAGACAUAAUCAGGGAUGAGCUAAGAGUGACACUGGAUUUGAACUUGACACUGCAGACAAUUAGGGUAGGUGUGACAAAGCUUAGGUAUUAGAGAUCUUUAAAUGUCUGAAGACACAGAGUGUGACAAGCAUGGCUUGUGUGUGUGUGUGUGUGUGUGUGUGUGUGUGUGUGUGUAAAGGGGGAAAGGGGGCAGAGCCAGUUAGAUAAUAAAAGCCAGAGGGAGAUCAAAUCUGGGGGCUGUUCUGGGCCUUGCAGCUAAGACUACAGCGAGGGAGAGCCUGCAGGGACAUUUCCCCACCUAGCCUGCCAAGCCGGCAGACCUACCGUGGUGCCUGGCUGCUUGCAUCGGGCCAGGGUGAACUUGCUGUGGUUCUUCUUGCUUCUGCUCUUAGAUUUCCGGAGUUCUUCACACUUUUCAUAGUCACUCAGGUCAAACACCUCUUGGAUAUUUUUCUCAUCUUUUACCUAGGGGAGUUUUGGGGUGUGAUAAGGAUAAAAUUACUGUGCUUCUGCAUCUGAAGAAAGGGAAGGGUGACAGAAGGAAGCUAUCUCACCCAAGGCAUAUAACCGGGGAUGGGACUCAGAACUGAGUCUGUGUGGGAUUCUGUUUAACCCCUUUGCCCUACAAGCUACCAUUCCAGUGCCUCCUUCUACCCAUGACCCUCACUCUGUUUCUGAAGGACACGGCUUUACAUGUCCUUAAAGGGACAUGGUGAUAGGCUGAUCCGAUCAUCCCAAGUAAGGAAGAUGCAAGUGGCCAUUAACAGUCCAGGAGAAGGUGAAAAAGGCAGCCAACACCUGGGAAUGGCAAAGGGCUGCUUCUGGCCUCAGGGAAUAUUAUGGUUCACAAGAGUGUUCCUUCCCACCUGCUUUCUCUUCUAAAGGACUUUAUCGGAGACUUUUCCUGAUCAGCAGGCUGGCCACCCUCCUCUACUUGGUUGGGAAUAUGCCUGGAACUAGUUGGUCAUGUUUCCCCGGGGAAAAGUCGAAACUGAGCAAACGUGUCUAAGUAGCCCAAUGUUUCCCUUGGCAGACCUCUACCAGCCUGUAGCUGAUCUGCCCAUCCUUUUCAUUUGCUGAUUACACGUGCUGUGUGGGAGCAAAGGGCAUACACAUCUAUCUCCAUUUGUCUGGCAAGGCUCAGUUCUCUAGGGUUCUUCCCAUUCUAGGGCUCCUGGGCUUUUGGCUGGGAAAUGACCAGAGGCCUUAAACAUUAUGGUGGACGUGGGACCAGGUGCCACAAGGAACAUUCAAGAACAAUUCACAGGAACCCAGGCUGUGACACGGGGCCCUCCUCUCUGGCUCCUUCCCCAAAGAGACUAUCAGCAGAGACCAGAAGGCUUGGAGAGGAAGAGCUGGGAAGCCACCCUGAGGUGUGGAUCUGCUGACUAGAAGACAUCCCAGCCCUUUUAAAGGGUGCCUUUGGAGAGUGGGGAAUGACCAACAGCACACAUGGAAGGGCUUCCUUGCUUUCCCAAGAAAGACUGACAGAAACAAUGCAAUGGGUAGGGACGUUUUCGUCUUUGCAUCAGCAUGUGACCUGCAAAUACUAUGCUCUUGGUUUUAAUGUCGUCAGUCUAUUGGUUUACUGCAGCUUUUGUUUACAGGCAGAAUAAACCGUGUCUUUUGGCAGCUUCACCCUUAGCCCGGGUCCACUGGACCACGGAAUUGGUUCUGAAGAAGGGUCAUAAUAAGGAGCAGUUCCCUCUUUUCCAAUGCCCUCCCCAGUAGGGGGCAUCUGGCUCCAGGACUAGUCAGAUGCUCCUGACUCAGAGGACAGCAGCCACUCUAGGCUGAGGUCAUCCUAUCAUCUCUCUGCUCCGUAGUUCUUCUUUGACAUAAAGCUUAUUAGCCAAUUAAUCCUGCACCUUUGU